rfam:Colletotrichum gloeosporioides Cg-14 contig03875, whole genome shotgun sequence.
CCGUCUUUUGCCAUAGCUCGAUCAGUUUAGCCUUCCCGACUGCUGAUCUUGAGCCGGAUACACCACGCUUCGGCGACGUGUACAAGACAAGAUCAACCCCCAGACAAUGUUCUUUGAGUACGGAACCUUUAGACUUGAAGUGAAGGCUUUCGUAAUUUAUCUGUUGUCACAUCU